rnacentral:lncRNA from 1 species
GCAUGGUACAGAUGACAGCCUGAGCAACAUGCUGCGUUCUGGGCUGGUGGCCCUCUGCCCCCGGAGCAGAGUUGCCAUCCUGAGCUCUUGCUUUGCCAUUGCCCUGGAGAGUCCCCUGUUUCUCCCCUGUGUUGGCUCUCCAGUUUCCUCUGUACUAAGCCUUCCUUUUUCUGAGCUUAAUGUCUUCUUUAGGUACAGCACGUCCUCUAGUAGAUUCCUGAAGAAAAGAUCAUGGAAGGUUUCCUUUAACAACAAAUUCUGAACAGCACCAGAAUAUGGGUAAGUUAAU